rnacentral:rRNA from 1 species
AACCUCCGCAAUGCGAGCAAUCGCGACGGGGGGACCCCAAGUGCUACUUUAACGGGGUAGCUUUUCUAAAGUGCUUCAGGAUAAGAGCUGGCAAGACCGGUGCCAGCCGCCGCGGUAAUACCGGCGGCUCGAGUGGUGGCCGAUAUUAUUGAGUCUGAAGGGUCCGUAGCCGGCUUUGCAAGUCUCUCGGGAAAUCCAGCGGCUUAACCGUUGGUCUCCGGGGGGUACUACAUUGCUUGGGGCUGGGAGAGGUAGGAGGUACUCAGGGGUUAGGAGUGAAAUCCUGUAAUCCUUUGGGGACCACCGGUGGCGAAGGCGCCUAACUGGAACGACCUGACGGUGAGUAACGAAAGCCGGGGGCGCGAACCGGAUUAGAUACCCGGGUAGUCCUGGCCGUAAACGAUGUGGACUUGGUGUUGGACAGUGCCGAAGGG